AGAGAUUGUAUUUAAUAUGGAUUCAUUAUAUAUCCUGAUCCUGAAUGAAAAGUUAUUAAUAAAAGCUUCCCAGCAGAAGGCAAGUUGUCUAAACAAGUGGCAAUAUAUAUAAUCAUUAAUGGCAUUUUAAGUACUGCAUAGUCUAUUUGGAAAAUGUUAUUCUUUGCUGGAGAGUAUGUUUAUGCAGGAUUAACAAACCUGACAAGGAAUGGAGUUGCUGACUUGUGGUAUGAAGCUUGUACUUUUAAAUUUUAACUAGUGGACUUGUAUGACAUGCUUGAUUGAGCAGUGACAACACUACAUGCAGUACAGGUAUAUUAUACUAACUUGUAAAUAUUCUACAUUGAAGAGAAUUAUGUUAACCUUUUAUGUGGCAAUGGGCUCUACCUUAUUAUUUUUUCUGUCUAAUGCCAGACAAUUUUACUCAUGAAGGAGAGAGUGUUGCCACUCAAUGGGUUAUAGCCAAAUUUCUGUAGAUGGAAAUUUUGAACAAUAACUAUGUAAUAAGUACUGUGCCGGGAAUGGAACCUGUUGCCCUGUGAUUCAGAACAGUUCCUUAACAGCCGAGAGUCCAUCAAGCCCUGAGAGUCCAAGCGCCAAGAAUCCAUCAAGCUAACCAAGAGUUCAUUUAUACAAUACUAGUGUCAUCCCAGUUUAUUUAAUAUACUACCAGUGACACCACCAUCAUGGUAUAAUUAUACAGAAAGUUACAUCUUGGCAAAAGGACUCUUUAGGUCAGAGGGCUGCAGUAGAAUUGCAGGGCUGCAGGUUCAAUUCAUGCUGGCAGGCUUGUAAUUGUAUUAAAACUGUAUGUGUACCAGCGUGGGUAGUACCAAUGUGAAAUUGCUGUGCUGAGUGGUUAUAUUACUACCUGAAAAAAAAAGCAAACAGAAACUGAAUGUUUUGAGCAAAGACCAUUCGCUCGAAAUGUUGAGUUUCUGCUUGUUUUUUUUUUUGAGGUAGUAAUAUAACCACUCAACACAGCAAUUGUAAUUGUAUUCCUUUGCAAUUGCUCUCACAUAGUUCUAAGGUACCUGUAGCUC
rnacentral:lncRNA from 1 species